AUACGGAGGGUGCAAGCGUUACUCGGAAUCACUGGGCGUAAAGGACGCGUAGGCGGAUUGGAAAGUCAGAUGUGAAAUCCUACAGCUUAACUGUAGAACUGCAUUUGAAACUUCUAAUCUAGAGUAUGGGAGGGGGAGAUGGAAUUAGUGGUGUAGGGGUAAAAUCCGUAGAUAUCACUAGGAAUACCGAAAGCGAAGGCGAUCUCCUGGAACAUAACUGACGCUAAGGCGUGAAAGCGUGGGGAGCAAACGGGAUUAGAUACCCCAGUAGUCC
rnacentral:rRNA from 1 species